GGGAGAAGGAAAUGACAGAGAGAGAGAGAGAAAGGAGAGAGAGAACGCAGAGGGAGGGAGGCAGGGAGGGAGACCAAACCCCCGCUUUACUGCGUUGAAAGCUUCUGAAUUUCAAGCAGAAAGUAGAAGGAGCUCCAAAGGCAGUGAGCGUCUUUCCUUGGGCUGCGUGUGCCGAGCGUAGACAAUGAAAAUCUUCAUCCCCCUCCCCCAUUCUACUAGGCUACAAGAUUCUUGUUUUCGUUCCUUCUCACCGGUGGAAGAUGUGUAAAAUCAAAGAUGUAGAGGUGUGUAGUGAUUUUUUUAAAAGCCAACUAACCACCGCACGGACUGCGACGCGGAUUACCCGAGCGCACGCCGGCUGGGCGCAUUCUGGGGUCUCUGCGCAAGACCAGCUCUCAGCUCUCUCUCCUUUCCUCGGACUCUGGAGCGGGAGCGGGCCUUUCCCUCGGGUCGACCACGCCGUAGGGGACGCCGUGAAAAGAGCCGUCGCGCCCGCUGCCUCCUGCCCGCUGCGCAGAGGGCUCCGCCCGUAGAGGUCAACUUCCCUCACCCUUUUCUCUCUCCUGCUUGCCCUCCCUCCGCCCGGCCCAGGCGCUUCCAGCCCCAGACUGUGGCCACUGGCUGAGGAGUGCGAGUCGGCUGCGCUGCCCUGAGCCUAAUCCCUCUUCCGGGCCCAGACCCGAGGUCCGCGCUCCUGGGCAGUGGGGAAGCUUUAGUGAGCAGGCUUUUCUCUCCGCAGCAAACUUGUAGCCAGACCAGAUGGGCCGCCCAGCUCUCUCGGGACUAGGCAGGUGCGGAUGAGUUAAUUUUUCCGCAUUACAAAGAAAGAUGACCCAGCCCGCCCUUGGACUCUCUUUUCCCAAAAUCUCCCAACCAAACCCGCGGUAACGUUAUCAAAGGACACAGAGCCCAGGCAUAUCUGUGUGUUUAUCUUACAGGCACACACGCAUGGUUUUCUCUUUUAUAUGCUAGAUUUCAUCCCUGACAGCAGAAAAUGAUUGGCAAUGGUUAUGACGGAGAACAUGCAAUAGCGUGGUCCUUAAAAACCUGCCAUUCCUUACAAGUGCCUUAGAAAGGAUUCAGGGCGAACCAACUGGGUUAAUUGCAUUCAGUAAAAUAACACGAUUACAAAAUUAGAUCUGUACCAGAGGGGUAAUUAACUUGGAUCCACGCCGUCAUUUGAAAA
rnacentral:lncRNA from 1 species